rnacentral:lncRNA from 1 species
GGCGGGGCCGAGGGGGCCGAGCCCGCGGGGGGAGGGGUGGCGUGUGUCACGUGACUCGGUUUCAGUGUUUACACGAGGAGCGGGCCGCUUGUUCGGCCUCAGUCAGGCGCUCGGCUCCGUUUCGGUU